rnacentral:lncRNA from 1 species
UGAACACUCUGCAGCUUUUCUGCACGAUGGUUGGCACACGAGCGAGUAAAAGCAUCAGAGCCGCGAAAGAGAUCAAGACGGAACCGGAGGAAGAAGAAAUACGCGCUGAUGCGCCGCGCAAAAGAAUAAAUACUAAAGACCAAGAUCGAGAAACUACAACCAGGAGUCAUGUCAACAAUGAAUCCGAGAGCAGAGAGACACCGAAGAAGAGAAGGCUCGUCGCGGAGGUGGAGGUGAAGAAAGAAAUCAAAACCGAAUCAGAGGGCGAAGAGUGGUCAGAGGAAGAGGAUGAAGAGGAGGGAGAGGAGUCGGGCAACAGUGACCCCGACUACGACGCCGAAGAUGGUUUCUCUGACAACUCUGGAGAUGAACUCUGUAAGCGGCGUAACGCUGAGGUGAAUGGAAACACUGGGAAAGAGGAGCCGAGAUGGGAAUUCAGAUCAGUCCCAGACACCCAUCCUGCUCUAUUGAGGUUCAGACCUGUCAGGACACCCGGACCUUCCCUGGAUGCGUCGUCCUCCUGGACUCCUCUGUCUGUGUUCCAGUUCUUCUGCAGCACCUCCGUCGUCCGCAAAAUUGUCGAAAACACAAACAAAAAUGCAGUGCGAAAAGAAUCCGGCAUCAUGAAAGGUGGACUCCAAUCACUGUUAAAGAUUUCUACUUAUUCCUAACCACUGUCUUGUACAUGAGCCUGGUUAGACUUGAUGACGAAUGUGACUACUGGAGGAUAGUUUGGAUGUAUGAUUUGCCAUUCCUCGGCACUCCAUGUCAAGAGAGCGUUAUAGACUAAUCCGAUCAACACUGAGUCUGUGUGACCCGGAGGAAGAUGACGAGAAUGAAGCCAAGAAGGGGACACCGGAGUAUGACAAACUGUUUAAAAUCCAGCCGUUUUUCACUGAACUGGUGGACGCCUGCAAGGCCAAUUUCCAGCCGCACCGUAAUAUCUGUAUCCAUGAGAGGAUGGUGAGGAAGAAUAGGCCGCUGAAGUGUGGCUACAGGCUGUUUGCGUUGGCUGAUUCGUUAACAGGCUACACAUGGAACUUGCACAUCGACACAGGGAAGACUGCAGCCACCAGGGGGCAGACUGCAGGCUACACCGCAGUCAAGAACCUCCUGCCCCUCUCGCGAUCGGCAGCGGCUUCACGUUAUACACGGAGAGCCUGUUCUCCAGCCCGCGCCUCUUCACAGAACUACUCGACAAACACAUCGGCUGCUGCGGGGUUAUAAGCAAACGCCAUUCGAAGUUUCCCCAAACGCCAAGAACGACUUCACCGUUCCCCCCUCGCGAGGAGACAUACGGUGGCUCAGAAAGGACAAGCUCUUGUUCACGAAGUGGGUGGACACUCGCGAGGUGACCAUGUGCUCACGGUGCACGAAGCGUUCACCGGGCAAACGAUCAGACGCCCGGUGAAAGAGGGCAACGGGUGGCGCCUCAAGCAGUUCUCCUGCCCAGACGCUGUGGCCGAUUUCAACAGACACAUGGUUGUACUGAAGAAGUCUGACCUUAACUUUAGCUAUAACCUGCCAUGUAAGAUAGCUGACUGGCGCAGCUCCCUUUUCUACCACUUACUGGACCUCGCGAUGGUCAACAGCUUCAUAUUGUACAAUGAACUGCUGAAACUUAAAGGUGAAGGCAGGCCGUUAACGGAGAAGGAGUUCAGAGAGGAGCUUUGUCAGGAAAUGCACAAAUUUGCCAAGGGCUCUGAGCCAGAUAUCCGCUAUGCCCCUUCUGCGCCUGCUGGCCUCUGCCUGCCUCUGUACUAUGUUGAAGGUGACGCUACAUUAGGCAGGAAAAAAUGUAAAAUCUGCCGCGCUUUGACGCCAAUUUACUGCCAAAAGUGCUUAAUCCCACUGUGCCUGACGUGCAACAGGAACUGCUUCAGGAGUGGCAUGAACUGGAGGAAUCUGAGAAAGAUUGAAACGUGUAGUCGUAGUCGUAAUAGUAGUCCAGUCUUAAAGGGAUAUUUCAGGAUUUUUGACAUAGGGCCUCAUUUCCUAGUUAUCCAGAGUGUUGUUGAUUUAUGGAGAUAAUUUUUUCUUAAAUUCAUGCAGUUCUUAUAUUUGAAGAGCUUAGUGGCGCUAGGCUAGUCUUAGGCUAGUGCCUGUCUAUGGUAUCAGUUAGCCUGCAUUAAAAACAGUCUGACCCACUCCACAGUGCACCUGAGGUAAAUCACUUAUAACACCAGACUAACCAUAUAAAUGUCUGUGUUAAUAGAAUCAUUUUAAUCAUUAACUUAUAUUUGAGCAGCAUCAACUUCAUGGUUGUAAGCUAACGCAGCGGUGGAGUGAUCUGCGAGAAAAUAGUCCCUCAAAAUGCGGUAAUUCAUGUGAUGCAAGGUCAGUUAUAUUUAAAAAUGAUUGUAUUAACACAGACAUUUAUAUGGUUAGUCUGGUGUUAUAAGUGAUUUACCUCAGGUGCACUGUGGAGUGGGUCAGA